rnacentral:misc_RNA from 1 species
AUCAUCAGCAAGGACAUGUCUGAUACAACAGGUAGAAGAUUGUGAAGACCCUUCCAAAUGAUACCUACAUUUGUAUUCUGUAGUGCUUAGUUUGAACUUCAUGAGCAAACUAUGACCUAGCACACUACAAACAUACAUAUGAACAAAGCCAUCACUCAUCAAGUUGACAACCAAUCCCUAACUACAAUUAGUUUUGCCAGCCACAAAUUCAUAGUUAAAUUAAAAGUUUGUUGCACCAUCACAAAUGUUACUGAAGCCAUUAGGCUAUGUCCAGUUA